CACGUAGGGUGCAAGCGUUGUCCGGAAUUAUUGGGCGUAAAGAGCUCGUAGGCGGUCUGUUGCGUCGGCUGUGAAAACCCGGGGCUCAACCCCGGGCCUGCAGCCGAUACGGGCAGACUAGAGUUCGGCAGGGGAGACUGGAAUUCCUGGUGUAGCGGUGAAAUGCGCAGAUAUCAGGAGGAACACCGGUGGCGAAGGCGGGUCUCUGGGCCGAAACUGACGCUGAGGAGCGAAAGCGUGGGGAGCAAACAGG
rnacentral:rRNA from 1 species